rnacentral:rRNA from 1 species
UCCAGCGAUUGAUUUAGCGGCCGCGAUUCGCCCUUCCUACGGGAGGCAGCAGUGGGGAAUAUUGGACAAUGGGGGGAACCCUGAUCCAGCCAUGCCGCGUGUGUGAAGAAGGCCCUCGGGUUGUAAAGCACUUUCAGCGAGGAAGAACGCCUAGCGGUUAAUACCCGCUAGGAAAGACAUCACUCGCAGAAGAAGCACCGGCUAACUCCGUGCCAGCAGCCGCGGUAAUACGGAGGGUGCAAGCGUUAAUCGGAAUUACUGGGCGUAAAGCGCGCGUAGGUGGCUUGAUAAGCCGGUUGUGAAAGCCCCGGGCUCAACCUGGGAACGGCAUCCGGAACUGUCAAGCUAGAGUGCAGGAGAGGAAGGUAGAAUUCCCGGUGUAGCGGUGAAAUGCGUAGAGAUCGGGAGGAAUACCAGUGGCGAAGGCGGCCUUCUGGACUGACACUGACACUGAGGUGCGAAAGCGUGGGUAGCAAACAGGAUUAGAUACCCUGGUAGUCCACGCCGUAAACGAUGUCGACCAGCCGUUGGGUGCCUAGCGCACUUUGUGGCGAAGUUAACGCGAUAAGUCGACCGCCUGGGGAGUACGGCCGCAAGGUUAAAACUCAAAUGAAUUGACGG